rnacentral:rRNA from 1 species
UACGGGGGGGGCAAGCGUUGUUCGGAAUUACUGGGCGUAAAGGGCUCGUAGGUGGCCAACUAAGUCGGACGUGAAAUCCCUCGGCUUAACCGGGGAACUGCGUCCGAUACUGGUUGGCUUGAGUUUGGGAGAGGGAUGCGGAAUUCCAGGUGUAGCGGUGAAAUGCGUAGAUAUCUGGAGGAACACCGGUGGCGAAGGCGGCGACCUGGGUCGAUACUGACGCUGAUGCGCGAAAGCGUGGGGAGCGAACAGG